rnacentral:rRNA from 1 species
UACGUAGGUGGCGAGCGUUGUCCGGAUUUACUGGGCGUAAAGCGUGCGCAGGCGGUUUUGGAGGCCAGAUGUGAAAUCCCCGGGCUCAACCUGGGAAUGGCAUUUGGGACUGCAAGGCUCGAGUGCGGCAGAGGAGACUGGAAUUCCUGGUGUAGCAGUGAAAUGCGUAGAUAUCAGGAGGAAUACCGAUGGCGAAGGCAGGUCUCUGGGCUGACACUGACGCUCAUGCACGAAAGCGUGGGGAGCAAACAGG